GCCUUGCUCCACGGUCUUCGGAUGGCUAAGGAGAUGAGCUUGAGGUGGGUAAGGUGCUUUGGUGACUCAGACUUGGUGGCUCAACAAGUAUCAGGCAAGUGGGACUCUAAGGAUCCUCUCAUGGCGGCUUAUCGCUGCGAGGUUGAUACAAUUGCUGGGCACUUUCAGGGCUACCAAGUAGAGCACAUUGAUCGCAAGAAGAACGAGGCGGCUGAUGCUCUAAGCCGGCUAGGCUCUCCGCGAAAGUCGGUGCCGCCUAACACUUUCCUGGACGUCCUGUAUAACCCUUCGGUUAAGUUGCCUACAGAGGAAGACCUGGCUGUUCCUGACCCGGAGGCACGAUUGGUGGCGGCUCUUCAUGUCAUACCA
rnacentral:rRNA from 1 species